ensembl:snRNA U6 U6 spliceosomal RNA
GUGCUUGUCUCAGCAGCACACAUAUUAAAAUUGGAAAAAUAUGGAGACGCAUAGCAUGACCUUUGCACCAGGAUGACUUCCAAAAGUUGUAUGUUUCCUUGAGAGAU